rnacentral:rRNA from 1 species
UACGUAGGUGGCAAGCGUUGUCCGGAUUUAUUGGGCGUAAAGCGAGCGCAGGCGGUUCCUUAAGUCUGAUGUGAAAGCCCACGGCUCAACCGUGGAAGGUCAUUGGAAACUGGGGAACCUGAGUGCAGAAGAGGAGAGUGGAAUUCCAUGUGUAGCGGUGAAAUGCGUAGAUAUAUGGAGGAACACCAGUGGCGAAGGCGACUCUCUGGUCUGUAACUGACGCUGAGGCUCGAAAGCAUGGGGAGCAAACAGGAUUA